rnacentral:rRNA from 1 species
GAUGAACGCUAGCGGCAGGCUUAACACAUGCAAGUCGAGGGGUAGCAGAGGUAGCUUGCUACCUGCUGACGACCGGCGCACGGGUGCGUAACGCGUAUAGAAUCUACCUUUUACUGGGGGAUAGCCUUUGGAAACGAAGAUUAAUACCCCAUAGUAUUGUUUUUUGGCAUCAUUAGACAAUUAAAGUUUCGGCGGUAAAAGAUGACUAUGCGUUCUAUUAGCUAGAUGGUAGGGUAACGGCUUACCAUGGCUACGAUAGAUAGGGGUCCUGAGAGGGAGAUCCCCCACACUGGUACUGAGACACGGACCAG